CAGUCAUGUGGACCUAGCCUGAAGUAGUGGCCAUAGAUGUCAGUGGCAAGACAGAAGAUUCAGUCUCUAAAAAAAACCGUAUUCCACGUCUUCAUGUCUUCAUCUAUAAAAGUGGAAGAAUAAUGACAAAUGCUGUGUGAGGAUUAAUAACAUCAGGUGUUUGGGUUUUUUCCAGGUCUGGCUGUUAUGAUUAAUGUUCCAUGGACAUUUUUGAAUAUGUCUUUGCAACUCUCAGAAAGAAGAGUCUAUGUCCCUGUCCCCAGAAUCUGGCUUGACUUUGCGACUUGCUUUCACCGAUCAAAUGCAGAAUAAGUGAAGUCUGGUCCUCAGGGGGUUUUGUACGCCUCUGCUGACUCUCCUGGGGUGCGAAUAACACCAUGAAUCCUAGUUCAGACUAACUUACAUGGCCUAGUCACCUCCAUUGUCCAAGCCAAUAGGUACCCAGCCAUCACACCUAAGAGUGAGGCCAUUCCAGUCUCCUGCUGAUCUGCCAUGGAUGAGCAUGGCCUAGAUCAACUGAGCUUGACUCAUAUGAGCAAGACUGCCUGGAUAACCUGCAAUCUUGU